AAUCAAACUAAAUUGGCGGGAUGUUAACGUAGAUAGAUAUAAUU
rnacentral:guide_RNA from 1 species